UACAGAGGGGGCAAGCGUUAUUCGGAAUUAUUGGGCGUAAAGGGCGCGUAGGCGGCUUUUCAAGUGACGGGUGAAAUCCCUCGGCUUAACCGAGGAACUGCCUGUCAGACUGGAAGGCUUGAGACCGGGAGAGGUGAGUGGAAUUCCCAGUGUAGCGGUGAAAUGCGCAGAUAUCGGGAAGAACACCCGUGGCGAAGGCGGCUUUCUGGGACGGUACUGACGCUGAGACGCGAAAGCGUGGGGAGCGAACAGG
rnacentral:rRNA from 1 species